GUACAACAAUUUUCAGCCUCAGGGCGUAUAUCAUCAGGUGGUAUAUACAAUCACGGCUUUAGCCUGGGGUAACAGCAAUAUUUAUAACAGUAUUUUUCUGAUAUACAGUACACACUUUAUAAUAUGAACAUAGUCAUAUAUAAUUACAUAAACCACGGAAUAAACAACGGCAUAAACCACGGCAUAAACACUGAUAUCACACUCAAUCUGAUAUGCAUAUGCAGUCAUGUAUGUACCCACCACAGAUAUAA